rnacentral:rRNA from 1 species
UACAGAGGUCUCAAGCGUUGUUCGGAUUCAUUGGGCGUAAAGGGUGCGUAGGUGGCGGGGUAAGUCUGGUGUGAAAUCUCGGGGCUCAACCCCGAAACUGCACUGGAUACUGCCUCGCUCGAGUACUGGAGAGGAGAUUGGAAUUUACGGUGUAGCAGUGAAAUGCGUAGAUAUCGUAAGAAAGACCAGUGGCGAAGGCGAAUCUCUGGACAGUUACUGACACUGAGGCACGAAGGCCAGGGGAGCAAACGGG